rfam:Ovis aries breed Texel chromosome 2, whole genome shotgun sequence.
UCCCUUGUGGCUCAGAAGGUAAAGCAUCUGCCUGCAAUGCAGUAGACCCAGGUUCAAUCCCUGGGUCAGGAA